CCUACGGGAGGCAGCAGUGGGGAAUAUUGGGCAAUGGGCGCAAGCCUGACCCAGCAACGCCGCGUGGAGGAUGACGGUUCUCGGAUUGUUAACCCCUUUUGUUAGAGAAGAUAAUGACGGUAUCUAACGAAUAAGCACGGGCUAACUCCGUGCCAGCAGCCGCGGUAAUACGGAGGGUGCACGCGUUACCCGGAAUCACUGGGCGUAAAGAGCGUGUAGGCGGGAUAGCAAGUCAGAUGUGAAAUCCUAGGGCUUAACCAUAGAACUGCAUUUGAAACUGGUAUUCUAGAGUAUGGGAGAGGUAGGUGGAAUUCUUGGUGUAGCGGUGAAAUGCGUAGAGAUCAAGAAGAAUACUCAUUGCGAAGGCGGCCUACUGGAGCAUAACUGACGCUGAUGCGCGAAAGCGUGGGGAGCGAACAGGAUUAGAUACCCGAGUAGUC
rnacentral:rRNA from 1 species